GUCGCCGCGUACAGCCCAGCUAAGCAGCGUAGGGUUUUAGCCUCCGUCUCCCCUCCCCCUUCCCAUCGCACUCGCCCCGCCGCAAUGGCCGCCGUCGCCGCCGCGAGAUCCUUCCUCCGAUCCGGAUCUGCUGCCUCCUCUCUCCGCGGGGCCGCCGCCAGAGCCGCCCCCCGCUCUGGUCCGGCUCCGCUCCCGAGGCGACUCCCGGCCUCUGCUCCCCGCGUCCUCCCAAGGUCGCCGGUGGUGAUGACCAGCUUCUGCGUGGAGUCGCUGAUGCCCAUGCACAGUGCCACGGCGUCGGCGCUAAUGACGUCGCUCCUUGCCACCCCGGCUCGCACUGGGUUUGGUUGGCUGACAGAAGGUCAGGACGAAACUAGAUGAACAUCAAGCCCCAAAAGCUGGCAAUGAUGACGUGUGACAGUUUCUAGGUGGAAUGUAGAAGAUUAUAAUCUCCACACCUCAAAUAUUCAGACUUGUGAGUAGUGACAAUGGAGGUCAUCUGGGAUGAAGAAUCCAUGCCUUUUAUUUUUGCCAUAUGUAUCUGCUUUAUUUUGCAAAGUGGAGUUCAUGGACACUGCGCAAACGUAGUUAUUAUGGCUGUUACAUUUAUAAUGUCAGUUGAAGAGUUGGAGCUUAGAUUAUUCGUUUCUAUUUGUAGAUGGAUGAUUUCUUCUUGUUGGAGCCUGCUGUGAUGGUACCUGCUACGGACCUCCCAAAUUGAAUUUAAAGUGCACUUUGGUUGCCUUCUUCUCAGUCUGUACUAUCCUGGGAUUUUGGUUUGUAUUAAGUAUCUACAGGAUUAUUAUACCUGAUUGUGCCAAAAUUUAACCGAAUUGGAGUACUACUGAUUAUGCCUUUCGUGGAGAAAAAUAAUAAUGCUUAGUUGGAA